rnacentral:rRNA from 1 species
GACUAAGGAUGCAAGCGUUAUCCGGAUUCAUUGGGUUUAAAGGGAGCGUAGGCGGCCCUGUAAGUCAGUGGUGAAAUCUUUGGGCUUAACCCAAAAAUUGCCAUUGAUACUGCAGGGCUUGAGUACAGUUGCCGUUGGCGGAAUAUGACAUGUAGUGGUGAAAUACAUAGAGAUGUCAUAGAACACCGAUUGCGAAGGCAGCUAACGAAACUGUAACUGACGCUGAGGCUCGAAAGUGCGGGGAUCAAACAGG